rnacentral:lncRNA from 1 species
GAAACAUUUUCUGGCUUGGGUAGUAUCUGAAUGGGGAAUUCUCUGUUCCUGCUGCCUUACUUCUUCCCACAGAUGAAUGCGUAAGAAAGCUAUGAACAUGGAACAAGAAUCAUGGAGAGAAGCAAUAUGCAAUUUUGUGAAUUAUGAAUAUAAGUUCAUAAAGAGAACUGGGAUUGGGACCCUGUGGGAAGCCCUGAAGAAGAAAGACCAGGAAAAUUGGUAAGAGGUGGGAAUAAUGUAUUUAUGAUAUGUUACCCCCUGGCCAAUAGAUUUUAGGCAUAGAGAAGAACUUUAGGGGAGCUGAAGGACAAAGCCCCUUUGAAGAGCUUCUUGUUUGUGCAGAUGAUCACUUCCUCCCAUCAAUACUCUUUGCUGACAAAAACUUUGGCUUAGGUGAUGUUGCUCCAAUUUUACCAGGAAUACUUUCCUCUCCCUCCUUUUAUCUUCUCUUUCCUUCCAUAUUUUUCUAUCAAAAAUGGAAAUAGCUAUAAUAUAUAAUACAUAUCUAAUUAUGAAUGUAACAUAUACUCAGAAAUUACUAAAAAGAAAACAAUUUUAAAAUUAAAGAAGAAAAUAAAACAAUCUGUAAAAUGAACUUCAAGAAAUAACCAUCAAUCAAAUUACAUGGCAUGUCAGAUUUUUUUUAUAUGUAUAUAAAUAUGCAAGGGUAGAAUCUAAUACUAUUUUACCUACCUCUAUUUUAACUCGUCAGCAUUACUUCUAAACCUCCAAAAAAAUCAUGACAUGCUGCAGCCCCUAUUUAAACCAAUUCCCUAUUCCCAAACAUUCAAGUUUUUAUAAUAAACAUCUCC